rnacentral:rRNA from 1 species
GCUAAGAAUAUUCCGCAAUGGACGAAAGUCUGACGGAGCGACGCCGCGUGGAUGACGAAGGCCGAAAGGUUGUAAAGUCCUUUUGUCGAUGAAGAAUAAGGGUAGGAGGGAAUGCCUGCCUGAUGACGUUAGUCGGCGAAUAAGCCCCGGCUAAUUACGUGCCAGCAGCCGCGGUAACACGUAAGGGGCAAGCGUUGUUCGGAAUUAUUGGGCGUAAAGGGUACGUAGACGGUUUGGUAAGCCCGGCGUGAAAUCCUGCAGCUUAGCUGUAGAGCUGCGCUGGGAACUGCGAAACUUGAGUCAUGGAAGGGGAGUUAGAAUUCCAGGUGUAGGGGUGAAAUCUGUAGAUAUCUGGAAGAAUACCGGUGGCGAAGGCGAACUCCUGGCCAAUGACUGACGCUGAGGUACGAAAGUGCGGGGAGCAAACAGGAUUAGAAACCCCGGUAGUCC